GAUGAACGCUGGCGGCGCGCCUAACACAUGCAAGUCGAACGAUUAAAGCACCUUCGGGUGUGUAUAAAGUGGCGAACGGCUGAGUAACACGUGGGCAACCUGCCCCUUUCAUUGGGAUAGCCACGGGAAACCGUGGAUAAUACCGAAUACUUCGAGACUUCCGCAUGGAAGACUCGAGAAAGCUCCGGCGGCGAGGGAUGGGCCCGCGGCCUGUUAGCUUGUUGGUGGGGUAACGGCCUACCAAGGCAAUGAUGGGUAGCUGGGUUGAGAGACCGACCAGCCAGAUUGGGACUGAGACACGGCCCAGACUCCUACGGGAGGCAGCAGUGGGGAAUCUUGCACAAUGGGCGAAAGCCUGAUGCAGCGACGCCGCGUGCGGGAUGAGGGCCUUCGGGUUGUAAACCGCUUUCAGCAGGGACGAGGCGAAAGUGACGGUACCUGCAGAAGAAGCCCCGGCUAACUACGUG
rnacentral:rRNA from 1 species